CCUUACGAUCUAUCCCUCGUGCCCACAGAUCGUUCUCCGCCGCCCUCCCAUCGAUCUGCCGCCGAUCCCUGCGGAGCUUCCCUCCCCAAUCCGAUCUGACGGAGAGAGUGCCAGAUCCGGCCGGGGGAGCCGCCGUAGAGCCUCCACGUCGGUGGAGCAGCACCUCCUGCCACGGACGCCGCCGCCACCUCCUGCCUCACGACCCUUUGCCGCGACUCCGCCCCCAAGCGCCGCUCCCGCACGCAACCCUAACCCUAUCCCGCCAUGCCUCGCUGCCUCGCCGCUUGAGCCGCGCUGAUGGAGCCCGAGCAGCGGUGGCCGACCCCGUCACCGCCGCCGAGCCUGUGGACGAGGAGAAGGAGGAGGAGACGGAGGCGGCCGAGGACGAGGAGGACACGCUGCUGGACCGCGCGCAGCCUGAUCUCACGGGUCCCUUUGCACAUGUGCAGACUUGCCCAAUAUGUGAUACUGUGUUUUGCAGUUCGUCAAUGGACCAAUGCCUAAUCUCCCCAAGGUUGAUGUUUCACUGGACCCGGUGAAGGAGUUGAGCAGAGUAAUAUCUGAGCGAAAAAAUUGAGGGGCGUGCUUUGGUUGUGCUCUCAGGUUAUUUUACGAGGGUUGUGUGCACUGAACCCCAUUUCUCGGGACCAAAGUAUUCUUCUGGCCCUUUUCCAGCAACGGACAUGCGACAUAGCCAACUACACAUUUUUCCUAACAUUGAUGGACGAUGAACAAGAUGGGAAUGAGGAGGAUGCGACCUAUAGAUGGUUGCUAUGGAUCGGGAGGUUGAUACUGAACAUCAGUUUACUACUAAUCCGGAGUAGUAAUAUUGGAUUACAGGUCAUGGGUUAACUAAUACAUGCAUCAGCUUUGUAUCAUAAAGAUUUCACCAUCCCAAGGUAAUGGAAAUAAGUUCACAAGAUUCGCAUGUUGAGGUCUGUACAAAGAGAUACAAGGCAAUGUCUGUGUGCUGGAAGGAGAAACUCACUGCCAAAGCUAUAAUCCCUGAUGCUAAAGCCUGCAUGUUCAAGUCUGCAGAGUUUACUCAUAUUACUGUAUGAAUGAUUAAUACAGAGGGAGCCCUUUUGUCAGGUCAUUUAAUCAUUAAAUCAUACGUAAAAUUAUCUCAGAGGGAGUAUUUCAUUUUCUACCUGAACCAAGUUGUUAUUUCAUUUCUAAGAGGCAAAGAGUUCCUCCUGGUUAGUUUGCCACAUUUUAUAUGUCUGUCUAUGUGCAUUACUAAUUCACUAUAUGCACCUUUAGUUCCCAGUUUUGGCUCACUUUCUUGAUGCAUCUCGGAUGAGAGGAAAGGAAUGGAUAAUCUGACAAGCAAUGUUCGGGCAUACCCUUAUAUUUACGUCUGAUGAAAUGCUGCAGGUGCAAACUAAUCAAGACUGCUGCCAUGAGCAAAAGAGCAGACAUUACUUAUGAGAAAACAAUAAAAGAAUCUUCCGUGACUACAUACCACGACGAGUCAAAGACGAUGAAAGCACUACUCCAUUGGUGGUGUUAGCAAGUGGAGUCUGGAGGGAGAACAACACAAAGUAGGAAAUUGAUUCCCUCGCCCUCGCUUGCUUCAACGACCCCGCCCGUCUUGGUGGGGUCGAUUCCCCCAUCGCCCGACUCAUCUCCGACGAGGUAGUCGAAAUAAUUCUAUGCUUCAGAUCCAGUGGUAAUGUAAUUUUGGUCGGGCAGGGGUUUGUGAAGAAAACUAGCAAGGUUCAUAGAUGCACCCAGGUGGAAUACUUACUUUCCAAAUGUCAAGUAUUUUUAAAAAAUUAGACAUAUAAAUGUCUGAGUCCUUUGUGUGCUUGUCAAAUAUCAUGCAAAAAUGAUAAAGAGGACGAGGUUAUGAGGUAAUGUGCUCGGGCGGGAGGAAGAGGUACUGGUUCAAACCAUGAAAGUUCUUAGCUCAUAAUUGCUACCAAUUCUACAGAAAAGGUUGUGAUUUUGUUAACCUGACUAGAGCUUUCAUGUUAUGUCAGUCCUUUAUUUAGAUGAUUUAGCUGUUGACCUACCGUUCCUUUCUAUCAUCCAUGGGCUAAAAAAUGAAUUAUCAACAAGUAUGGUGAUAGCCAGCGUUACUGUGAUCUCCAAAGAACAAUAACUAUGCAACAUAGUGCUGAACUUUGACAUUUUCGUUUUGCUAUAAAUUUCCUUUUAAUAUUUCGUAAUUUAUUUAAUUAAUCUUUCUAUUAAUAUUUGGUUUCACUAUAGUAAAUUUAUUUGAAGGUCUCCAUGAUGGCAUAAUUCUAUGUAGACUGAUGUGUCGAUUAUUUUGGCAUGCAUUUAUUUGCCCAACAUUACCUAGAUACUUAGUGCCAUUACAAUGACAUCCCGUUUUAUUUCAGAAAGUGAUUGCUCCAUCACAUACACAUUAAAAGAAAUUGCACAACUGCACCAUGGCUAUCCAGUAUAUCAAGCAAGAUUAAUCUAAACAUACCUUACAGCAUCUCAUUACUCCCGUCGAAGUAAUCUAAACAUGUUCUUAAUGGCGACAAAUUUGAGCAGAAGAUAUUCUUAAUGGCAACAAGUAACUAAUUCUUUCGUUUCUAUGGAAUAUGUAAAUUCAUAUGCAGGUAAGCAGGUUAAUCUAAACAUGCCUUACAGUAUCCCAUUACUCUUGUUGAAAUUUUAUACUGUUAGAUUUCACCUUUGUUUGUAUUAAAUAUCUGAAGUAACGGAGCUUGAUUUUCAGUUUUGUUUUUUCACUCACUUCAUAGCCAACAUUACAGUGGUAUAUGUUGUAUGUAUUUCAGCACUACACUUUUCCCUCGGUCUAUAUAGUCACUGUUACUUGCCUAAAGACCGGGAAUUUUCGUUGUUCCGUUUCAACAACACGGUAUAAAUCCAAAUAGUUACUAUUACCUGAGGACAGCUUGUCUUCCCCAACAUGGGAUUUGUUGUUAACUCUACUCAUCUUCGAUGUUUAUACAUGAUUGGCAAGUGUCAGCAACUUCUCGUGUUCACUUUUGGUUAGCAAAGGUUUUGAUAUAACAGUCAGAUAUUUAUGUUUGGGAUUAGCUCAUAGGUGAGACUCUGGGUUCCCCUCCCCUCUGUCGAUCGCUCCAGCAGCGAGAGGGUCGGGGAGCCCCUGUUCUCUGCUUUGGUGUGUGUAUAGGGUGUGUGGAGAUUUCGUCUCCUGGCUUCGUCCCCAUGGCGGCUGGGCGUGCUUCAUCCCUCAUCAUGGAGCCUAGGAGUCAUGUUCAGGAGUUGGAGCGGCGCCAGAUCUCCCCAUGUCUCGUCCUUGGUGGUUCUUCAUCAUGUUGCAUCUCCGGUGUGCUGGUCCUACUGGACCGAGGUUGAUGACUUCCUGGCCGCAAAGAACCUGUCUGCACUCUACAAGAUCAUGCUGGCAAAAUGUAGAGCGGCGCCUGAUCUCCCCAUGCCUCAUCCUUGGUGCUUCUUUGUCAUGUUGCACCUCCGGUGUGAUGGUCCUACUGGACAGAGGUUAACGACUUCCUGGUCGCGAAGCAUCCGUCCGCACUCUACAAGGUCACGUCGGCUCCAUGUUGGAGCGGGAGCGCGCCUUGAGCCCGCAUCUGAGUUUGUUGUAUCUGAGUUUGUGGUGGGUCGAAGCCCCAAGGACCCGAUUGUGAUUUGUGUUUUCUCUAGGGUGCUUAUACCACUGGUGUUCUUUAAUAUAUGACCUGGGUCUUCUCCACAAGAAAGGGUGAUAUCUAUCAUUUGUAAUGCAUUGCACACUACAGAGUUAUGUGUUUGUGCUACUUUCUUUAUUUUGUGCAUCAGAUAUGAAAGUAUACAUCGUUGGAUUUCAUUUUUAUUUUGAAAACCCAUUGCAAGUGAAGUGGAUUUCAAUUAUUUCUUGUAUAUUAUUGGCUACUUUUUUAUACAUGUGAAAUAUGACAUGCCUUAUGCUUAUAUAUCCAAUUAUCCACUAUGUAUUGCAGAUAGCAAUAUUGAAUGGCUUUAGUAACAUUUCCCUUUUCAAGGCAUAAUGUCUGUCCUGGUACUUGCACCGGACAUAAACUAUUGUAAAUAUAGUAAAAUCUUAUAAUUCUAUUGUGGGAUUUCACUCUUUGGUGUGUGACAGGCUAGCGGUUGUGCUUGCUGUCUCCAGUGUUUAGGUGGAAACUACAUAAUCAUAUUUGGUAACUUUGGGGAGAAGCUGGGAUUUUUGUUGGUAUGCAGUGUUCAGGUGGAAACUACAGAAUCAUAUUUGCUAACUGUGUGGGAAAGCUGGGAUUUUUGUUGGUAUGCAUGUCAGAUACAAGACUAACCAAUGUGCAUGUAUUGCUCAAAUAUUUCAGUGGUCCUAUUACAUUACUGUAUUUAGUAAAAACAUGCUCUGGCUCUUUGCACUAAUACUCCGACAAAUGUGGCCCUGCUUGAUCUUAGGUUAAUAAUUUUAUAUUGCUGGCAGAUUAAUUCAUAUAGCUCUUUAACUUUUGGAAGAGAUAACUCAGAUGACUUAUGAGAAGAUGCUCUGAUAGAUGUGCAAUGUACCAAAAAAGAGUUCUUUUGGCAACAUAAUUUCAUGUAAUUUGUGCGGAGCUACCUUGAAAGAGCAAUAAAACUCUAGACGGAGCAAGGACCACCACAUGGUGAACACUUGCACCUGUGCAUGAAGAGCGCCAGCCGUUGAAUGGCGUGGCACAUCAAGUCAGGGAAACAUUACUUUCUUCACUGGUCUCCAAUAUGUGCUUUUGCUUUCUCCCUCUUCCUUGUUUAUUAGAGCUUUUAUCAAUAUAUUUAAGAAAAGGCUCUACGCCUUUUCAAUCAGCUAUUUUGUCAAAGUGGAAUUUUGUGAGUUUAUGGAUGAGAAUUAACAAAAUAGUUCUUCCAUAUUUGUUACGUAUACAUGCAUAUAACAUGUAUCAUAUUUGUCGAAGGUGCCAUGGGAGCUAGC